UUUCCGUAGGUGAACCUGCGGAAGGAUCAUUAUCGAAUCAUGCCGGUUCCCCCGGCUUUUUGAUAUCCUGCCCGUGUGAACUGUGGCCUCCUUUUUUAGCGCUUCUGCUGAAGGAAUAGCCGAUCGAGUUACAAACUAUUUUAACAUAAAAAGGCAUAAAAUGAAGCAACGGAUCUCUUGGCUCUCGCAUCGAUGAAGAACGCAGC
rnacentral:misc_RNA from 1 species